UACAGAGGUCCCAAGCGUUGUUCGGAUUCAUUGGGCGUAAAGGGCGCGUAGGCGGCUUAUCAAGUCAGGCGUGAAAUUCCCGGGCUCAACCUGGGGGCUGCGCUUGAUACUGAUUGGCUUGAAUGCGGGAGAGGAUAGUGGAAUUCCCAGUGUAGAGGUGAAAUUCGUAGAUAUUGGGAAGAACACCGGUGGCGAAGGCGGCUAUCUGGCCCGUAAUUGACGCUGAGGCGCGAAAGCGUGGGGAGCAAACAGG
rnacentral:rRNA from 1 species